GCAUUUGAAGGUCCAUCUAAGAACAGCAUUAAUUCUCUAGACACUGGUCAAUGUCUAGCUUAUUGUUAUUGUACACACACAGCACAGUGCAGGCUUAGAAGGAUCUCCAUGGAUGGCGAUCAUGUUCCCGACGGAGAAGAUGGUCGCUCUUGAAGCAUUCAGCAGCUGGGAAUGGGCACCCCGGAACCUUUGACAUAGGCGGCCAACGGCCGGGACCCCGACAGUACCGCCGACGAGCACGGGUUGAGCUCCAC
rnacentral:lncRNA from 1 species